AGUGAACGCUGGCGGUAGGCCUAACACAUGCGAGUCGAACGGCAGCACAGUAAGAGCUUGCUCUUACGGGUGGCGAGUGGCGGACGGGUGAGGAAUACAUCGGAAUCUACUUUUUCGUGGGGGAUAACGUAGGGAAACUUACGCUAAUACCGCAUACGACCUACGGGUGAAAGCAGGGGAUCUUCGGACCUUGCGCGAUUGAAUGAGCCGAUGUCGGAUUAGCUAGUUGGCGGGGUAAAGGCCCACCAAGGCGACGAUCCGUAGCUGGUCUGAGAGGAUGAUCAGCCACACUGGAACUGAGACACGGUCCAGACUCCUACGGGAGGCAGCAGUGGGGAAUAUUGGACAAUGGGCUCAAGCCUGAUCCAGCCAUACCGCGUGGGUGAAGAAGGCCUUCGGGUUGUAAAGCCCUUUUGUUGGGAAAGAAAAGCAGCAGGUUAAUACCCCGCUGUUCUGACGGUACCCAAAGAAUAAGCACCGGCUAACUUCGUG
rnacentral:rRNA from 1 species